rnacentral:rRNA from 1 species
AUUGAACGCUGGCGGCAUGCCUUACACAUGCAAGUCGAACGGUAACGGGUCCUUCGGGAUGCCGACGAGUGGCGAACGGGUGAGUAAUAUAUCGGAACGUGCCCAGUAGUGGGGGAUAACUGCUCGAAAGAGCAGCUAAUACCGCAUACGACCUGAGGGUGAAAGGGGGGGAUCGCAAGACCUCUCGCUAUUGGAGCGGCCGAUAUCAGAUUAGCUAGCUGGUGGGGUAAAGGCCUACCAAGGCAACGAGCUGGAGUUGGUCUGAGAGGACGACCAGCCACACUGGGACUGAGACCCGGCGCAGACUCCGACGGGGGGCAGCAGUGGGGAAUGUUGGACAAUGGGCGCAAGCCUGAUCCAGCAAUGCCGCGUGCAGGAAGAAGGCCUUCGGGUUGUAAACUGCUUUUGUCAGGGAAGAAAUCUUCUGGGCUAAUACCCCGGGAGGAUGACGGUACCUGAAGAAUAAGCACCGGCUAACUACGUGCCAGCCGCCGCCGUAA